rfam:Brettanomyces bruxellensis AWRI1499 AWRI1499_contig955_scaffold11, whole genome shotgun sequence.
GGGUUCGUGGUGCAAUGGUUAGCACGUUACCUUCCGGAGGUACAUGGUUGUGGGUUCGAAUCCCGCCGGGCCCU